GCCAGCUAAGGUCCCAAAGUCAUGGUUAAGUGGGAAACGAUGUGGGAAGGCCCAGACAGCCAGGAUGUUGGCUUAGAAGCAGCCAUCAUUUAAAGAAAGCGUAAUAGCUCACUGGUCGAGUCGGCCUGCGCGGAAGAUGUAACGGGGCUAAACCAUGCACCGAAGCUGCGGCAGCGAACGUAUCACUUAAAGCGAUUCAGCGGGUUACGAUUGACGGAGCGAAGCGACGUCAAAGCGUAUACAAAGUCGAGUCGGUUUAAGGAUACGUUCGUUGGGUAGGGGAGCGUUCUGUAAGCCUGUGAAGGUGUGUCGUGAGGCAUGCUGGAGGUAUCAGAAGUGCGAAUGCUGACAUAAGUAACGAUAAAGCGGGUGAAAAGCCCGCUCGCCGGAAGACCAAGGGUUCCUGUCCAACGUUAAUCGGGGCAGGGUGAGUCGACCCCUAAGGCGAGGCCGAAAGGCGUAGUCGAUGGGAAACGGGUUAAUAUUCCCGUACUUGGUGUUACUGCGAAGGGGGGACGGAGAAGGCUAUGUUGGCCGGGCGACGGUUGUCCCGGUUUAAGCGUGUAGGCUGGUUUUCCAGGCAAAUCCGGAAAAUCAAGGCUGAGGCGUGAUGACGAGGCACUACGGUGCUGAAGCAACAAAUGCCCUGCUUCCAGGAAAAGCCUCUAAGCAUCAGGUAACAUCAAAUCGUACCCCAAACCGACACAGGUGGUCAGGUAGAGAAUACCAAGGCGCUUGAGAGAACUCGGGUGAAGGAACUAGGCAAAAUGGUGCCGUAACUUCGGGAGAAGGCACGCUGACAYGUAGGUGAAGUGAUUUACUCAUGGAGCUGAAGUCAGUCGAAGAUACCAGCUGGCUGCAACUGUUUAUUAAAAACACAGCACUGUGCAAACACGAAAGUGGACGUAUACGGUGUGACGCCUGCCCGGUGCCGGAAGGUUAAUUGAUGGGGUCAGCGCAAGCGAAGCUCCUGAUCGAAGCCCCGGUAAACGGCGGCCGUAACUAUAACGGUCCUAAGGUAGCGAAAUUCCUUGUCGGGUAAGUUCCGACCUGCACGAAUGGCGUAAUGAUGGCCAGGCUGUCUCCACCCGAGACUCAGUGAAAUUGAACUCGCUGUGAAGAUGCAGUGUACCCGCGGCAAGACGGAAAGACCCCGUGAACCUUUACUAUAGCUUGACACUGAACAUUGAGCCUUGAUGUGUAGGAUAGGUGGGAGGCUUUGAAGCGUGGACGCCAGUCUGCGUGGAGCCGACCUUGAAAUACCACCCUUUAAUGUUUGAUGUUCUAACGUGGACCCGU
rnacentral:rRNA from 1 species